AUUGAACGCUAGCGGGAGGCCUAACACAUGCAAGCCGAGCGGUAUUUGUUCUCCGGAACAGAGAGAGCGGCGCACGGGUGCGGAACACGUGUGCAACCUGCCUUUAUCUGGGGGAUAGCCUUUCGAAAGGAAGAUUAAUACCCCAUAAUAUAUUGAGUGGCAUCAUUUGAUAUUGAAAACUCCGGUGGAUAGAGAUGGGCACGCGCAAGAUUAGAUAGUUGGUGAGGUAACGGCUCACCAAGUCAAUGAUCUUUAGGGGGCCUGAGAGGGUGAUCCCCCACACUGGUACUGGGACACGGACCAGACUCCUACGGGAGGCAGCAGUGAGGAAUAUUGGACAAUGGGUUAGCGCCUGAUCCAGCCAUCCCGCGUGAAGGACGACUGCCCUAUGGGUUGUAAACUUCUUUUGUAUAGGGAUAAACCUACUCUCGUGAGAGUAGCUGAAGGUACUAUACGAAUAAGCACCGGCUAACUCCGUGCCAGCAGCCGCGGUAACAC
rnacentral:rRNA from 1 species